CCCGCGCAGCUCUUAUCCCCGUAGACUGCGGCCGAGACGGGGAGGGGGAAGCCUCGCCUGGGGGGCGGCAGUGGCCUGGGCGGCUCUCCGGCUGCUGUUGUAUGGCUGCACGUUGGCGCUACCGGACGGGAUGCUGUAUCCCCGAGAGAGCCCGUCGUGGCAGCGCAAGCAGCUGGACGGCCUCUGAAGCUUCCGCGCCGACUUCUCCGACAACCGACGCCGGGGCUUCGAGGAGCAGAGUCAGGCCCCACCGUGGACAUGCCGGUUCCCUCCAGCUUCAACGACAUCGGCCAGGGCUGGCGGCUGCGGCAUUUUGUCAGCUGGUUGUGGUAUGAACGGGAGGUGACCCUGCUGGAGCGAUGGAUCCAGGACCUGUGCACAAGAGUGGUGCUGAGGAUUGGCAGUGCCCACUUCUAUGCCAUCGUGGUAUCCCAAGGGUUACUUUGUCCAGAACACAGACUUUGACUUCUUCAGCUACGCAGGACUGCUGUGGUCUCUGCUUCUAUACACGACACCCCCCACCUACAUCGAUGACGUCACCGUCACCACCGGCGUGAAGCGAGACAGUGGUGAGGGCUUCUGGACUGGAUGGAGGACCUGAAGACGUGAGGUGGAGGCACAGGUAGAAGAGAAGAUUCUCACCAUCGCUGAUUCACACAAAAGCAUUUCUCCAAGUGGUUGCAGAUGACAUGAUUUCCCAAAGUGUUAGAGCUGAAGUGUGUUUCCUUGUGUAUAUAUACUGUGGUUCCUUUAUCCCUUCAUCUGUGGAUAGACAGGUGCAACCGUGUGGUUCCCCACGAUAUGAUUUCAUUGUGGUUUUCUGUCUGAAGAGUAUCCCAGUAUGUACCUGUGGAGCAGCUUCUUUAUCCCUUCAUCUGUGGAUAAGCAGUGCAGGCCAAGGCCCCCUGCCCAUGGAGGUGUGCUGCAGACAGCAGCAGCAGCAGCAGCAGCAGCAGCAGCAGCAGCAGAGGCCUGGCUUCCUGAGGAAUUGCUGGCCGGUUUGAGGAAGGAAGGAAGUCCCACCUACCAUGAUCACCCUCCAGCCUGGAGGAAGCUCCAUGCCAGCAGCAUGGACCAGCAUGGGAGCCAGAGCCCUGCUAAUGCUGCAGCUCAUCACCCCUGCUCAGCAGCCCAGCAGCCCAGCAGCCAUUGCCACAUCCCAUUUCCAGGGCCUCCUGCCCCCAUGCCCCCACGUGCCCAUGGACCGACACACCACUCUUCCUGUUGGCCCAAGGUAGGCAUGGAGGGAAUUUUUCAAGUCCACUUUUAGUAGGUAAGUCAAAACCAAACAAAAUAACCACUCGACACCUGGUCCAAUGCCCUUCCAAACUCACUCUUUUCUCUGACCCUUAAACACUUGUCCUGCAUCUCCCAGACUCCACUGUACCUUGAUCAGUAGGUCCCUCUUCACUGCAGUGUCUUUUUUGCAGAGUUCUUUUAGCUCUUUCAUGCUUUUGCUAUGGGCAGAGGAAAGAAAGAAGGGUAAAUUUGGGAAUCAGGGGAGAUUUGUGAGUUCCAGUCCCUUUUGUUUGAAAACCCAGUGAAUCCCAGCUUACUGGGUGAGAGUUUUCAGUGGAGUCCUCUGAUCACAGGGGCUCCAGAGGACCAGGGUGGGACCUCUCAUGCUCCUCCCCUGGGCCCCAUCUCCACUUCACAUGAGCCACUGCGUGUUUACAGUUAGCUUUCAGCUGGACACAGAGUUCCACUGCUGGGUACAAACACCUGAAAGCCUCCAGUUGGCUCCAGUCUGUUCCUGAUGGUUAAAAAACCUUAGUCCUGAGUUGGAAAUCCUUGCCUAGGAGUCCAGGGCAGCUUAGUGACCACAGCCACCGGCCCAUCCCUGCCUCCAGUGUCCCUGGACUCCAAGAACCUUUCAGAGUCAUUGAGGGCACAUGGGGGGAGACCUGUGAGUCCCUAGGUCAACCCUGAUGCUGCCAUGGAGAGAGCCCUCCUCACCUGGACACUCCUGCCCACGUCUUGUGUAGCUGACCUAUUGGGUUGCUGCACAGAGCAGAGACGAUGACGUGCACCGAGGAGAAGUUGUUGAGGCUUAGGCACUCCUGGAGAGGGAAGAAUGAGCUGUGCGGUUCAGAGUUGGAGCUUGGCCCACUACAGCCUCAGCCCCCUCUGCUGAGAUCUCCCCUCCUGGAUGAAGCAGAGGCCUGGGGAGCCUCAGGAGGGCAGACCUGGGGCCGAGUGGAUGUCACUCAUCUAGGAGGAUUUUAGUUCAACCCAAGGAAGACCCCAGGUCGGAAGUGAGCAGCCACCACUGGGCCGUGGGAGUCAAGUCUGGAGAAACAGCUACGGCCAUCCCAGCCCUGGCCAAGGGGAAAAUGCCGGAAGACUCCAGGGUGGGAGGAAGCGCGUCCCAAGGCCCAGGAUCUGCGAGGCGACUUGGGGAAAACGCAGGCAGAAAAUAAAGCAUGCGAAGAAGUUAACUUGGUGCCAUUGGGCAGAGGGUGAGAGCCCAGCAAACCGGAGAGAUCAGCUGCCCACAUCAGUGGCGAGGAGUGCGGAGAGUGGGUGAGGCUGGGGCAGGAAGCAGGCCAGCCUGCCAGAGCCCAGGAACAGGUGAAAGGACCUGCUGAAGCUCACACCCGUGGACCACCCAGACUGCCUGCCGCUACAGGAUGCCCUCCGCAUCUCCCAGGACUUCUUUCCGGCAUCAGUGUGGACAUUGACCCCACUGGACUGCAGUCACAGUGGACUCCCAAGGGGCAGGAUCCACCUCUGAUGUUCAGUGAAGACUACCAGAAAAGUCUGCUAGAGCAGUACCAUCUGGGUCUGGAUCAAAAACUCAGAAAAUACGUGGUUGGAGAGCUCAUCUGGAAUUUUGCCGAUUUCAUGACUAACCAGUAGUGGGUGCAGUGGACCCCAUCAUGGAGAAGUUCAACACAUCCAGCCUACGACCAGCACCUGUGGGAGGUGGAUAUUCAAGGCAGCAGAGCCUACAGCCGGGGCAUGGAGAAGGCAGGGCUCCUCGCCAAGGCCGAGAUGGAUGGUUUUACGUUGAACUAAUUAUAUACUCAAGUGCUGUUUAA
ensembl:lncRNA GUSBP11 GUSB pseudogene 11